UACGAAGGGUGCAAGCGUUACUCGGAAUUACUGGGCGUAAAGCGUGCGUAGGCGGUUUGUUAAGUCUGUCGUGAAAGCCCCGGCUCAACCUGGGAAUGGCGAUGGAUACUGGCGAGCUAGAGUACGGUAGAGGAGAGUGGAAUUCCCGUGUAGCAGUGAAAUGCGUAGAGAUCGGGAGGAACAUCAGUUGCGAAGGCGGCUCUCUGGACCAGUACUGACGCUGAGGCACGAAAGCGUGGGAGCAAACAG
rnacentral:rRNA from 1 species